UACGGGGGGGGCAAGCGUUGUUCGGAAUUACUGGGCGUAAAGGGCUCGUAGGCGGCCAACUAAGUCAGACGUGAAAUCCCCAGGCUUAACCUGGGAACUGCGUCUGAUACUGGAUGGCUUGAAUUCAGGAGAGGGAUGCAGAAUUCCAGGUGUAGCGGUGAAAUGCGUAGAUAUCUGGAGGAAUACCGGUGGCGAAGGCGGCAUCCUGGACCGACAUUGACGCUGAUGAGCGAAAGCUAGGGGAGCAAACGGG
rnacentral:rRNA from 1 species